rnacentral:misc_RNA from 1 species
GUUGGGUACUGUGCAGAUGGAUUUAGAAGAGCUCUAGUUUAUGAGCACCUACCAAAUGAAUCACUAGAGAAAUUCAUAUUUUCAGAUGAUGGAAAGGAGCUUCCUCUUGGGUGGGAGAAGCUUCAAGAUAUUGCUUUAGGCAUAGCCAAAGGAAUUGAGUAUCUUCACCAGGGGUGCCAUCAACGAAUACUUCAUUUUGACAUCAAGCCUCACAACAUCUUGUUGGAUGAAAGUUUCAAUCCCAAGAUUUCUGAUUUUGGUCUGGCCAAGUUAUGCUCCAAGGAUCAGAGUGCCAUUUCCAUGACUACAGCUCGG